rnacentral:rRNA from 1 species
UGUAGAUCCUUCGUCUCAAAUCUGCAAUACUUCCUGCACCUCUUGGGCUCCUUUGAGAACCUCCUCCCUGCUCUCAGGCGCGGCUCAUGCUUUCUCUCGUCCGACCUCGAGACAGUGGUCAAGCCCAAUGUUGCCUUCCUGCGAGAGUGCGGGCUAGGUGACUCUGACAUUGCCAAGUUGUGCAUGGCUCAGCUAAUGCUGCUUGGCUCCAACAUAGAGUGCGUCCGGGCAAUGGCAGCACGCGCCCAAGAUAUUGGUGUGCCCUGUGGCUCUCGGAUGUUCAGGCACGCGCUGAAGGCUGUUGCAUUCCUCAGCAAUGAGAAGAUCGCCGCCAAAGUGGAGCACUUGAAGAAGACAUUUAUGUGGUCAGAUGCUGUGGUCGGCGUUGUUGUCUCCAAGCAUCCAUCUGUGCUGAUGAGGUCUAACCAGAUGCUGCAGAGCAAGUCAGAGUUCCUCAUCUCUGAGGUCGGGCUGGAACCGACAUACAUUGCUCAUCGUCCGGCAUUGCUCACGUACAGCCUGGAAGUCCGACUCAGACCCCGGCACUACGUCGUAAAGUUUCUCAAGGAAAGCGGAUUGCUGGAUCGCGGCCGGGACUAUUAUAGAGCAGUCAUGAUCAGUGAGAAAGCAUUUGUGGAGAAGUUCAUAUGCCCUCACAAGGAAGUUGCACCACACCUUGCUGAAGACUAUGCAGCAGCUUGCAGAGGGGAAGUGCCUUCCAGUUUCAGAUUUACAUAA